rnacentral:tRNA from 1 species
GGGCCGGUGGUCCAGCCAGGAUAAGACACAGGCCUCCGGAGCCUGUAACACGGGUUCGAAUCCCGUCCGGCCCG